CUUCCAUGCAGUCGACGGCAGCACGGGCUUCGGCCUGGUGGCGAGUGGCGAACGGGUGAGUAAUACAUCGGAACGUGCCCUGUAGUGGGGGAUAACUAGUCGAAAGAUUAGCUAAUACCGCAUACGACCUGAGGGUGAAAGCGGGGGACCGCAAGGCCUCGCGCUACAGGAGCGGCCGAUGUCUGAUUAGCUAGUUGGUGGGGUAAAAGCCUACCAAGGCGACGAUCAGUAGCUGGUCUGAGAGGACGAUCAGCCACACUGGGACUGAGACACGGCCCAGACUCCUACGGGAGGCAGCAGUGGGGAAUUUUGGACAAUGGGGGCAACCCUGAUCCAGCAAUGCCGCGUGUGUGAAGAAGGCCUUCGGGUUGUAAAGCACUUUUGUCCGGAAAGAAAUGGCCUGGGUGAAUACCCCGGGUCGAUGACGGUACCGGAAGAAUAAGCACCGGCUAACUACGUGCCAGCAGCCGCGGUAACACGUAGGGUGCGAGCGUUAAUCGGAAUUACUGGGCGUAAAGCGUGCGCAGGCGGUUUUGUAAGACAGGCGUGAAAUCCCCGAGCUUAACUUGGGAAUGGCGCUUGUGACUGCAAGGCUAGAGUAUGUCAGAGGGGGGUAGAAUUCCACGUGUAGCAGUGAAAUGCGUAGAGAUGUGGAGGAAUACCGAUGGCGAAGGCAGCCCCCUGGGACGUCACUGACGCUCAUGCACGAAAGCGUGGGGAGCAAACAGGAUUAGAUACCCUGGUAGUCCACGCCCUAAACGAUGUCAACUAGUUGUUGGGGAUUCAUUUCUUCAGUAACGUAGCUAACGCGUGAAGUUGACCGCCUGGGGAGUACGGUCGCAAGAUUAAAACUCAAAGGAAUUGACGGGGACCCGCACAAGCGGUGGAUGAUGUGGAUUAAUUC
rnacentral:rRNA from 1 species